CCCAAAUAUUGUCCCAAACACAAAGUAGCAUUUAAAAAAAGUUAUAUUUAUGUGGGAGCACUUUGGAAGAAACCAAAUAAAAACCAAAAGCUGUCUCUCUCAGUGUUCUGAUUUCCAUCUUGUACACCUUGGCACAGAUGACAAAACAAAAUGCAACUUCAAAACAAGACAUUGUAAACAAGUGUGGGUCUCUCCGUGUGGUUUUUCUUGGGUGGGGAGCUCUGGGAGGGCAGGGCCAGGCUCCCGCCUGACAGCUGGCCCAGCUCACUCCUCCCUGCCCUCAUCUCUGCAGGCGCACCUCCACCCAGCCUUCUGCCCCAGCAGCACCUCUUCUCUGUGUGCCCUGGCUUGUCUUCUUCCUCAUCCAAGUCUCAUCCAUCUCCACCUGGGUUGUACUUUACCCUCAUCCCAGUGGCCAGAUGAGAAGACUGAGACCCAUGAUUAAGUAACCUGGCCAAAGUCAAACAGUUUCUGUAUGAAAAACCCUGAAUCUACCACUUUGGACUCUACAUUCCUCGAUCCAUAAUAUAGAUUGAACGUACUGGAUAGACUGGAUUGCAAUUUGGGGGACUCAAUGAAUAUUCUUGAAUGAUGAGGCUUACCUAAGAAUAGCAUCUUGGCAUCACUGAAAAGAAAAAGAAUCUAGAAUCCCUCCGAGGGCUUCUGAUCGUGUCCAUCAAUUUGAAUCCAGACGUGCCUCUGGCUGUCAUAUGGAGCUUGGAUUCAAAGGAAGGAGGGAAAACAGUCAGGAAACUCUCCCAGUAGUCAGG